rnacentral:rRNA from 1 species
UACGAAGGGGGCUAGCGUUGCUCGGAAUCACUGGGCGUAAAGCGCACGUAGGCGGACUCUUAAGUCGGUGGUGAAAUCCUGGAGCUCAACUCCAGAACUGCCUUCGAUACUGGGAGUCUCGAGUCCGGGAGAGGUGAGUGGAACUGCGAGUGUAGAGGUGAAAUUCGUAGAUAUUCGCAAGAACACCAGUGGCGAAGGCGGCCAACUGGUCCGAUACUGACGCUGAGGCGCGAAAGCGUGGGGAGCAAACAGG